GUUAUGCAUUUAGUUCGAAUGUUGUCAAGUUUGAAAUGUUUUUCUCGUUAAUUUCCGAUUUUUAUGUGAAUCUAUCUUUGGGACUUUAUUUCUAUUGAUGUUGGAGGACAUUUUUCGGCGGAAACGGAUUGCUUCAAUAUGGUUAAGAGRCAAAAUUGAACUGAUGCAGACUCUUUUCACUUGAAUGGAAAACCGACUACUAGUGUAUCCACUUUAUAGUCUGUGGGGUGUCUUUCGGCCAUGUGUUGUGAUUUCAACUUUCUUGAUCUGUAAGUCGUCGUUUUCAACGUUUCAAAUGAUAGAGCUCUUCUUCUACAAUCCCAUUUACUUAACGAUUCUCCACUUCCAAAGCAUCUGAUUGUAUAAAGAUUUUAAAAAUUACUCAACCAAUCUACAUGUAUUAAAUUACAUAAUGUGGGAAAURCACAAAAGUUAUGCUUGUUAAUCUUUGUUUUACUUUGCAAUUUUAGAGAAUAUAUAUUUUUUGUUAUUAUCAUAAAAUCUUUAGCUUUGCCAGAACUACUGUACUAUAUAUUUAAUCAAUUUAAUUAAAUGAUUGUUUAUU